rnacentral:rRNA from 1 species
AGCGAACGCUGGCGGCAGGCCUAACACAUGCAAGUCGAGCGCCCGUGGCAACACGGGAGCGGCAGACGGGAGAGUAACACGUGGGAACGUACCCUUUGGUUCGGAACAACCCAGGGAAACUUGGGCUAAUACCGGAUAAGCCCUUACGGGGAAAGAUUCAUCGCCGAAGGAUCGGCCCGCGUCUGAUUAGCUAGUUGGUGGGGUAAUGGCCCACCAAGGCGACGAUCAGUAGCUGGUCUGAGAGGAUGAUCAGCCUCACUGGGACUGAGACACGGCCCAGACUCCUACGGGAGGCAGCAGUGGGGAAUAUUGGACAAUGGGCGCAAGCCUGAUCCAGCCAUGCCGCGUGGGUGAUGAAGGCCCUAGGGUUGUAAAGCCCUUUCGGCGGGGAAGAUAAUGACGGUACCCGCAGAAGAAGCCCCGGCUAACUUCGUGCCAGCCGCCGCGGUAAAAC